rnacentral:pre_miRNA from 1 species
AAUAAACGAAUUUCUGUGUUUUUGUUUAGAAUUUUUGACUCUUCGUCUUAUUUGAAAAUUUUUUAUGAUUAAUAUUUUUAUUGUUACUACAUGAUAAAACAUGAAUAGUAUUUUACGUGUGACUAAUUUUUUUUCAAUUUUCUAAUAAAAUUUUCAAAUAAGACGGAUAGUCAAACGCUCAAACUAAAAACC